AUGAAGCAGCUUCACGACCGAACUGAACGAAAUGAUGGGAUCUGAGGGGAACCUGGCGACGCGGCGCCGGGCCGACGAGGCGCCGGGCCGACGAGGCGCCGGGCCGACGAGGCGCCGGGCCGACGAGGCGCCGGGCCGACGAGACGCAUUUAUCAGCUUCCUCUUGUGUCUCCCAGGUUUCCAGCUCAACCAUCCUGGUUCUGGUGUGACAUCAACCAAACCCAAAUUUAAAAGAAGAGUCGCCAUCAACAAUUAAACGAGUUCAGUCCCAACAUGGGCCGGAAAGCCACGCAGUGAAGAAGCCAAAACUCCAGAUCCUUCAUUCAUCGAAACAUUUGGAGGAAAGAAGGAAUGAAGGUUUCAGACGGACCGAUUCCUUCAGCUGAAUGGCCGACGUGUCCCAGAAAAACUGAUUUAAAAAAGCAGCAAAAGUCCAACUAAAACUCGAAACACCUUCAGAAAUCCUUGAGAUCGCUGAUGGAGACCAGGAUGUUGUGGGGAAAUGGAGAUCCCUGUAGGACGGAGCCAUCUGAUGACAUUAUCUGAAUCCUAAUGACUGUUUUUCUGUCUCUUCUUCAUAUCAAACAGGUGUUUUUGGGCUGAAUCCCAUUAAAUCUGUCAUCCGGCGCGUCGCCGGGUCGCCGUGCCACUCGCUGUGGAUUGAAAUGACACUCGGCAGACAGAUUGUUGCCGUGUCUCGGUUUGUUUUCGUUUCUGUAGCAGGUUUUGUUUUUUUCUCGCCGUCAGAGCAGCAGCAGUCACUUACAAAGGAGCAGGAAAACACAAGCUGUGACAGAAGAACGAGGAGACGGAGAACGCGGCGCAGGAGGGAGGAGGAGAAAAUGGAAAUGACCAGGAAACUCAGAGGGACGGAGGAAAUUAAACACGUUCAGCAGUUUUUACAGUGCAGAUGGACGACUUUUAUUUCAGGGAACGAAUCCAAACAGCAGAUUCAGACAUCAGUUAUUUCUGUGGAAUAUGUGAAGAUUUGUAACAUUAAACUGAAUUUAAA